rnacentral:rRNA from 1 species
CUCGUAGGUGGUUUGUCGCGUUGUUCGUGAAAACUCACAGCUUAACUGUGGGCGUGCAGGCGAUACGGGCAGACUUGAGUACUGCAGGGGAGACUGGAAUUCCUGGUGUAGCGGUGAAAUGCGCAGAUAUCAGGAGGAACACCGGUGGCGAAGGCGGGUCUCUGGGCAGUAACUGACGCUGAGGAGCGAAAGCGUGGGUAGCGAACA